AGAAUUUGUUAAUUUUUUUCAUAGUUACUGGGUAGUGUCCCCUGUGGUAUGUUAAAUUCAAAAGGUCACGAGUCCCUAUAUAUUUGGCUGAAGUGAACAUUCUCUGCCACAACAUCUAAAGAAUAAUAUUUGGGGGUGGCACACUAAUACAUCAUGUCAAGCUGACAUUUAUAUCAUGAAGUUUACUGUUUUCUGGUGAUACUGUUCAUAAUGGCACGCGCCACCAGACCCGGCUAAUUUUUGCAUUUUUAGUAGAGACGGGGUUUCACCAUACUGGCCAGGCUGGUCUCAAACUCUUGGCCUCAAGCGAUCUGCCCGC
rnacentral:lncRNA from 1 species